rnacentral:rRNA from 1 species
GGCGGUGUGUCGCGUCGGCCGUGAAAUCCUGCGGCUCAACCGCGGACGGGCGGCCGAUACGGGCACACUUGAGGGCGGUAGAGGCAAGCGGAAUUCCCGGUGUAGCGGUGAAAUGCGCAGAUAUCGGGAGGAACACCGACGGCGAAGGCAGCUUGCUGGGCCGUGCCUGACGCUGAGGAGCGAAAGCGUGGGGAGCGAACAGGAUUAGAUACCCUGGUAGUCCACGCCGUAAACGUUGGGCGCUAGGUGUGGGGACCGUCGUGGUUUCCGUGCCACAGCUAACGCGUUAAGCGCCCCGCCUGGGGAGUACGGCCGCAAGGCUAAAACUCAAAGGAAUUGACGGGGGCCCGAACAAGCGGCGGAGCAUGUGGAUUAAUUCGAUGCAACGCGAAGAACCUUACCUGGGUUUGACAUCCAUCGGAUCGCCGUGGAGACACGGUUUCCCUUGGGGCCGGUGGACAGGUGGUGCAUGGCUGUCGUCAGCUCGUGUCGUGAGAUGUUGGGUUAAGUCCCGCAACGAGCGCAACCCUUGUCCCGUGUUACCAGCAAUGUGGUUGGGGACUCACGGGGGACUGCCGAGGUAACUCGGAGGAAGGUGGGGACGACGUCAAGUCAUCAUGCCCCUGAUGCCCAGGGCUUCACACAUGCUACAAUGGCCGGUACAGAGGGUGGCGAUCCCGCAAGGGUGGGCGAAUCUCGCAAAGCCGGUCGUAGUUCGGAUCGGGGUCUGCAACUCGACCCCGUGAAGGCGGAGUCGCUAGUAAUCGCAGAU